rnacentral:rRNA from 1 species
GUGAACGCUGGCGGUAGGCCUAACACCUGCAAGUCGAACGGCAGCGCAGUAAGAGCUUGCUCUUACGGGUGGCGAGUGGCGGACGGGUGAGGAAUACAUCGGAAUCUACUUUUUCGUGGGGGAUAACGUAGGGAAACUUACGCUAAUACCGCAUACGACCUACGGGUGAAAGCAGGGGAUCUUCGGACCUUGCGCGAUUGAAUGAGCCGAUGUCGGAUUAGCUAGUUGGCGGGGUAAAGGCCCACCAAGGCGACGAUCCGUAGCUGGUCUGAGAGGAUGAUCAGCCACACUGGAACUGAGACACGGUCCAGACUCCUACGGGAGGCAGCAGUGGGGAAUAUUGGACAAUGGGCGCAAGCCUGAUCCAGCCAUACCGCGUGGGUGAAGAAGGCCUUCGGGUUGUAAAGCCCUUUUGUUGGGAAAGAAAAGCAGCAGGUUAAUACCCCGCUGUUCUGACGGUACCCAAAGAAUAAGCACCGGCUAACUUCGUG